CUGCUGGUACAAAUGAAUAGAUAUAUCAAUUUUAGUGAACUGAACAAGUGAACAAGGAUACUGAAACUGACAACUAAGACUGAUAGAUAACAUAACAUACAAGAUAAUGACAACUAAGACUGACAGGUAACUAAAAUAGCAUGUGACCAUAUGCAUACAGCAUACCUGACUAGAUCAUUUCAGAAAAUAAAGUCUUCCUAAAACACUUCAUGGCAGCAACAAGUAAAACAAACAAACAAACAAGUAAAAAUUCAGUAGCUAAAAAUACAGUAGCUACAGACCGACGAAGGGCGCCGAUUUUUCAGUCAGGUAUAAAAUAUCUAUAUAUGCGAUAGAAGACGAAAAAAUAUCACUAAAAUCGCCAGGCAGUACUACUACUACUACUACUACUUCUAAAAUGUAAACAAUGCUUGAACACGAUGGCAAGCCAUUAAAACUGAGAAGAGAUAAACUAAGACUCGGCGGAUAGAUAAAUAGAACUUAUCCAACAAGACAAGGAUUUGCCUCAAAAAAGCUCACCACGAGUGCAGCUACGGACACUUCAAGACUCCCAAGUAUUGUCCUGCUCUAAGAACGCGAUCUGUCGCCGGAACCUAGCCGGAUCCAGACCCACCGAGCGGUCACCACCAUAGCCCCGCCGAAGACGACUCCCCGCCGCGGCGGCUCGCGUCGGCGCCGCCCGCCGUCGACGCGUCCGGGUCCUCCUCCCCGGACUCCGCCGUCGACGCACCGCGUUUCCUUUUUUUUCUUUCCUCUUCUGCCCUGGUGCGUGUCUGAUGUGGCGCGGUGUUUGGUUGUGCAUAGCCCGCUGCUCGCGAGCAGGAGCGAGGAGUACAGGCUUUUGUUCCGGCUGCCGCCUGACGAGGUAAAUUGAGCGCCCGGCUGAUUGGCGUCAAGUGAUCCCUAGCUUUUUCCUCUCUCUCUCUGCUAUAUAGCUGUUGACCUUAUCAUAAUUAAUUACUAGCUGCUUUACCCUUUGCUCUGGAGUAUGCUAGCAUCUUGCUCCUUUGCUCUGGAGUACGCCAGCAUCUUGCUUUGAGAGUUUGGUUUGAAUUAUGAGUGAGUUCAGAGGAGCCUUGUUAUAAUUAUUGGUUUGACUUCACUCCUAAGCGGUUUGUAGUUUCAUGAGUUUCCUUCUGCGUUUUGAUUUGGUUGACAGUUAGUUGAACCACUGUACAAAAAGGAGGAUUUUGAGUGAUCAUACUUAGUUAUUUUGCUGAUAGUUGAUUGAAAGGUAGUCUGAUAAGUGGAUUUUGAGCAAUAACGCAUAAGCCAAGUGUCCAUCUAACAUAGCCUGUUACCAUACUUGUCAAGUUUAUCAUUUGAUUCAAUGCACACAGCAUACCUGACUAGAUCAUUUCAGAAAAUAAAGUCUUCCUAAAACACUUCAUGGCAGCAACAAGUAAAACAAACAAACAAGUAAAAAUUCAGUAGCUAAAAAUACAGUAGCUACAGACCGACGAAGGGCGCCGAUUUUUCAGUCAGGUAUAAAAUAUCUAUAUAUGCGAUAGAAGACGAAAAAAUAUCACUAAAAUCGCCAGGCAGUACUACUACUACUACUUCUAAAAUGUAAACAAUGCUUGAACAGGAUGGCAAGCCAUUAAAACUGAGAAGAGAUAAACUAAGACUCGGCGGAUAGAUAAAUAGAACUUAUCCAACAAGACAAGGAUUUGCCUCAAAAAAGCUCACCACG
rnacentral:lncRNA from 1 species